rfam:Deltaproteobacteria bacterium RIFCSPLOWO2_12_FTLL_43_16 rifcsplowo2_12_scaffold_32571, whole genome shotgun sequence.
GGGCCGCUAGCUCAGUUGGCAGAGCAGCUGACUCUUAAUCAGCGGGUCGGGAGUUCGACUCUCCCGCGGCCCA